ensembl:antisense Gm44040 predicted gene, 44040
GCACGUACAGACCAGAGGCUGACAUCAAGCACCUUCUAUUGCUUUCUGCCCUCUAAAAAAAGUUUUCUUUUUCUUCCUUUCUAUGUGUAUGAAUGUUUUGCCUGCAUGUCUGUAUGAGCACCCAACUGGUGCCCGUGGAGGCCAGAAGUGGACAUUAAAUCCCCUGGUACUGGAGUUACAGGUCAGCAAAGGUGUCGAUGAUGACCCCGAAAAUCAGGUUCAGGACGAUGAUGAUGACCAUGAAGAAGAAGAGGAGGUCGUAGAUCACCCUUGCAGCAAACAGAGGCUCCUGGAGAUGAAAGAUGGCCCACACUGCCCUUUACUCUUCAGAGGUCAGAGUCCAGCUCCAGCUGGACAGAUGUCCACUUUGAUGGGACUUACACUGAGCAUCAAACUUUAAAACUCCCAACCAAAUCUCCUUUUAAUCCCUGGCUCUAUACUGGGAGUGCUUCAACGGCUGUGGGGAACACAACUAGGAAGAUUCUGUCAGUAUGUUGGCCAGACCUAAUAUUAAACAAACCUCUGUCUAA